rnacentral:lncRNA from 1 species
UAGUGGGCAAUUCAGACUCUUUCUUAAUCGAUUGUGAAUUAAAACCCUUUUUAAUUAUGUCUAUUAUGAGGAUAUAGUUAUGACAUAUCCUCAUGGCUUCCACAAACCGUGAGUGACGUCUAGCAACAUGUCAUGGUUACCCAAGCCAAUAUAGAAUAGGUGGAGAACCUAUUCAGUUAGAAUUACAAUGUAAUACUAUCCUUCUCUAAAAUAAUGCUUUCUCUCUCUCUCUCUCUCUCUCU